UACCAGCUCUCCGAGUGGUAGGGAUGAUUAUUGGGCUUAAAGCGUCCGUAGCCGGUUUGGUAAAUAUCUGGGUAAAUCGUGAGGCUUAACUUCACGAAUUUCGGAUAGACUGCCAGACUUGGGAUCGGGGAGGUCAGAGGUACUCCAGGGGUAGCGGUGAAAUGUUGUAAUCCUUGGAGGACCACCGGUAGCGAAGGCGUCUGACUAGAACGAGUCCGACGGUGAGGGACGAAGCCCUGGGGCGCAAACCGGAUUAGAUACCCGGGUAGUCCAGGGUGUAAACAAUGUGGGCUUUGUAUUGGAGGUCCCACGUGGGCGUCCAGUGCAGAAGAGAAGUUGUUAAGCCCACGCCUGGGUAGUACGGUCGCAAGGCUGAAACUUAAAAGAAUUGGCGUGGGAGCACAGCAACGGGAGGAGCGUGCGGUUU
rnacentral:rRNA from 1 species